UGCCAGCCUCCAAAUAGAGCCACAUGCAACACAUCCAAUCAUAAAUGGCAUGUGAGGCUUAAGCCCGCCCCUGAAGCACUCUGGCCCAAUGAGCAUCCGGGCAGAGACUCUAAACCUCCCCCAUUCCACCUUGGUCUUCCUGCCUGGGACAUUGAGCAUGCUCAGACUUGAGGUCGUUAAGGAAAUGCUGAGGAGCUGCUGAGCCGUUGUGGAGGGGUCUGUGGAGUUCAUCUGGUGAGGGCAUUCCCAGGCCAGGGUGGCCAGGCUCAGGGUCUCCUCAGAGUCUGGACUUCCUCACAGCCCUGUUCUGGGAGGCUGAGGUGAAGACAAACCUGCCUUCUUGACAGCAGUCUCCUCUUAGACCAGGUCUAGUGAGGCCGUCUUCUCAGAGCCUGGAGACUCCUCACAGCCCAGUCUCAUGAGGCUGAGAUGCCCUCAGUGAAGAUCCAGGAUGGCAGGAUGCAGUUCUGAAAAAAAUUAUAGGCUUUCAUUCAGAUUAUUAUGGGCUUAACGUUUUCCAUAUUUCUUUACUUCAUCUUAGUACCUGUGGGAUCUGCAAUAUCCCCUUUCUCAUUCCUUAUAAAAUGAAACUCUGCUCUCUAUCUUCUACCAUACACAAGCUCUGCACCAAAUGUGCCAUAGACCAGAUACCCUGAAAAUGCCAAAGGACACAGUAGAGAAAAUACUCCCACUGCUAAGCACAGCGGAAUCUGGAAGAAGAGAAGUUAUAAAAUUGUCCCUCAGAGAUGCCCCUUUGCUGUCUCAGCCUGGAUGCCUGUGGCAACAGUUGCAGUAGGAACAGCCCACCUGGAAGUCUUCCUGUCAGCAUCACUGGAUCCUGGGAACCCACAGUUUCCUGCUCUUCACCAAGUUCUGGAU